AUGACUGACAAUAAUAAAGAGGUCUACUGUCACAAGUAUGUGGUGGUGAAGUUGUUCUCUGCCCAGCUGACAGAGACAGGAGAUACAGAGACAGGAGUCCAUUCUAUUACAAGUAGGUCACCUUGGCUCUCCUCUAUGCACAGCACUCCAGGGACUUCCUGCAGAAAGAUCAUGUUUGACCAGGUGGAGUCAGGCUUCUACUUCAUCGCCCUGGACCACUACACGAACGAGCCAGAAGACGUUAAGUUUGGACCAGUGAGUCACCAACUCAUCUUAUGCCUUACACAACUCAGCACAUAUGUAUCUUUCCACUUUCCUCAAACUCCAGUGCCCUACUUUUGUUUACCUUUUGACCAAUGUCUGGAUUGUACAAGGAUUUUAAGUUGGGACUUUGACCAUACUAAAUGUAAUUCCAUCUCCUGUAUUGUUCUGCCCUCUCUAUAG
rnacentral:lncRNA from 8 species